ensembl:lncRNA
GGGUCGGAGCCGCCGCCCCUCCCCCCCCUGAGCAGGACCCCGGCCACGUCCCGAGCGAAUUCCUGCUGGGGGAGGGGCAACGUGGGACCCCCGACCCAAAUUUUGGGAGACCCCAACCCCAAUUUUGGGACCUCGGGGAUUUUUCCCAAUUUUGGGGAUUUUUUUCCCAAUUUUUGGGAUUUUUUCCCAAUUUUUGGGGAUUUUUUCCCCAAUUUUUUGGGGAUUUUUUCCCCAAUUUUUGGGGAUUUUUUUCCCCAUUUUUGGGGAUUUUUUCCCAAUUUUUUGGGGAUUUUUUUCCCAAUUUUGGGGAUUUUUUUCCUUAUUUUUGGGGAUUUUUUUCCCCAUUUUUUGGGGAUUUUUUCCCAAUUUUUUCAGGAUUUUUUACCCAAAUUUUUGGAGAUUUUUUUCCAAUUUUUGAGGGUUUUUUUCUGAAGUUUUUGAGGAUUUUUUUCCCCAAAUUUUGGGAUUUUUUUCCCAUUUUUGGGAAUUUUUUUCCCCAUUUUGGGGGAUUUUUUCCCAAUUUUUUCAGGAUUUUUUAUCCAAUUUUUUGGAAAUUUAUUCCAAUUUUUGAGGAUUUUUUUCCCCAAAUUUUGAGGAUUUUUUUCCCAAUUUUGGGGACUUUUUCCCAAUUUUGGGGAUUUUUUUCCCAAUUUUUGGGAUUUUUUCCCCAAUUUUUUGGGGAUUUUUUUCCCCAUUUUUGGGGAUUUUUUCCCAAUUUUUGGGGAUUUUUUCCAAUUUUUGGGGAUUUUUUCCUAAUUUUUGGGGAUUUUUUCCCAAUUUUUUCAGGAUUUUUUACCCAAAUUUUUUGGGAUUUUUUCCAAUUUUUGAGGAUUUUUUUCCCCAUUUUUGGUGAUUUUUUCCCAAUUUUUUGGGGAUUUUUUUCCCCAAUUUUGGGGAUUUUUUCCCCAAUUUUUUGGGAUUUUUUUCCCCAAUUUUGGGGAUUUUUUCCCCAAUUUUUGGGGAUUUUUUUCCCAAUUUUUGGGGAUUUUUUCCCCAAUUUUUUGGGGACUUUUUUCCCAUUUUUGGAGAUUUUUUUCCAACUUUUGAGGUUUUUUUUCCCAUUUUUGGGGAUUUUUUUUCCCCAAUUUUUUGGGAUUUUUUUCCCCAAUUUUUGGGAUUUUUUUCCCAUUUUUGGGAAUUUUUUUCCCCAUUUUGGGGGAUUUUUUCCCAAUUUUUUCAGGAUUUUUUACCCAAUUUUUUGGAGAUUUAUUCCAAUUUUUGAGGAUUUUUUUCCCCAAAUUUUGAGGAUUUUUUUCCCAAUUUUGGGGAUUUUUUUCCCAAUUUUUGGGGAUUUUUUUCCCAUUUUUGGGAAUUUUUUUCCCCAUUUUGGGGGAUUUUUUCCCAAUUUUUUCAGGGCUUUUUACCCAAAUUUUAUGGGAUUUUUUCCAAUUUUUGAGGAUUUUUUUCACCAAAUUUUGGGGAUUUUUUCCCAAUUUUUGGGGUUUUUUCCCCAAUUUUGGGGGGUUUUUCCCAAUUUUGGGGAUUUUUUCCCAAAUUUUUGGGAAUUUUUUUCCCCAUUUUGGGGGAUUUUUUCCCAAUUUUUUCAGGAUUUUUUACCCAAUUUUUUCGAGAUUUUUUUCCAAUUUUGGGGGAUUUUUUCCCAAUUUUUGGGGGAUUUUUUUCCCCAUUUUUUGGGGAUUUUUUCCCAAUUUUUUCAGGAUUUUUUACCCAAAUUUUUGGAGAUUUUUUUCCAAUUUUUGAGGUUUUUUCUGAAGUUUUUGAGGAUUUUUUUUUCCCAAAUUUUGGGGAUUUUUUCCCCAAACUUUUGGAAACUUUUUCCCAAAUUUUGGGGGAUUUUUAUCCCAAAAUUCCCAGAAAAUUCAAAAAAAUUCCCAGAAAAUUCCCAAAAAUUCCCCGAAAUUCCCCAAAAUUCACAGAAAAUUCAAAAAAAUUCCCCAAAAGUCUCCAAAAUUCCCCCAAAAUUACCCAAAAUUCCCAGAAAAUUCCCCAAAAUUCCCCAAAAUUCAUAGAAAAUUAAAAAAAUUCCCAGAAAAUUC